CAGGACGAACGCUGGCGGCGUGCCUAACACAUGCAAGUCGAGCGGAGUUAACAAGAGGAAGUUUCGGAUGGAAUUUGUUAAUUAGCGGCGGACGGGUGAGUAACGCGUGAGCGACCAACCUUGCACAGGGGGAUAACGGAUCGAAAGGUUCACUAAUACCGCAUGAGACCACGGUGUUGCAUGACACAGGGGUCAAAGGAGCGAUCCGGUGCAAGACGGGCUCGCGUCCGAUUAGGUAGUUGGAGGGGUAACGGCCCACCAAGCCUAUGAUCGGUAGCCGACCUGAGAGGGUGAUCGGCCACAUUGGAACUGAGAUACGGUCCAAACUCCUACGGGAGGCAGCAGUGGGGAAUAUUGGGGCCAAUGGGGGAAACCCUGACCCAGCAACGCCGCGUGAAGGAAGAAGGUUUUCGGAUUGUAAACUUCUGUCCUUGGUGAAGAGAAGAAGACGGUAGCCAAGGAGGAAGCCCCGGCUAACUACGUGCCAGCCGCGGC
rnacentral:rRNA from 1 species